rnacentral:rRNA from 1 species
GACAGAGGGUGCGAACGUUGCUCGGAAUCACUGGGCGUAAAGCGCGUGUAGGCGGACCCGCAAGUCAGGUGUGAAAUCCCUGGGCUCAACCUAGGAACUGCAUCUGAAACUGCGGGUCUUGAGUGUCGGAGAGGGAAGCGGAAUUCCAGGUGUAGAGGUGAAAUUCGUAGAUAUCUGGAGGAACACCGGUGGCGAAGGCGGCUUCCUGGACGACUACUGACGCUGAGACGCGAAAGCGUGGGGAGCAAACAGG